rnacentral:piRNA from 1 species
UCACAUAACUGCUGCUGAGCCUGGG